GAAGCUGACCAGACAGUCGCCGCUUCGUCGUCGUCCUUUCGGGGAGACGGGCGGAGGGGAGGAAAGUCCGGGCUCCAUAGGGCAGGGUGCCAGGUAACGCCUGGGGGGGAAACCCACGACCAGUGCAACAGAGAGCAAACCGCCGAUGGCCCACGUAAGUGGGAUCAGGUAAGGGUGAAAGGGUGCGGUAAGAGCGCACCGCGCGGCUGGUAACAGUCCGUGGCACGGUAAACUCCACCCGGAGCAAGGCCAAAUAGGGGUUCAUAAGGUACGGCCCGUACUGAACCCGGGUAGGCUGCUUGAGCCAGUGAGCGAUUGCUGGCCUAGAUGAAUGACUGUCCACGAAAGAAAGCGGCUUAUCGGUCAGUUUCACCU
rnacentral:RNase_P_RNA from 4 species